UGAGGCUCAAUGGGAGAGUGUAUACUUUGUGUGCAUGAGGUCCUGGGUUCAAUUCCCAGGUCUCAA
rnacentral:tRNA from 1 species